UACAGAGGGGGCAAGCGUUAUUCGGAAUUAUUGGGCGUAAAGGGCGCGUAGGCGGCUUGGCAAGUGGAUGGUGAAAUCCCUCGGCUUAACCGAGGAACUGCCAUCCAGACUGCUUUGCUUGAGGCCGGGAGAGGUAAGUGGAAUUCCCAGUGUAGCGGUGAAAUGCUUAGAUAUCGUCAAGAACACCGAUAGCGAAGGCAGCUUACUGGGCUGUAACUGGCGCUGAGGCACGAAAGUGUGGGGAUCAAACAGG
rnacentral:rRNA from 1 species